UCUGCCUCAAACCCUAGCCCCCUCUUGCGCGAAACGUGUGUUUGCGGCAGCGCACAGCCACUUCAAGCGCUUCAACAGCUGGGCGCCGGCGCUGGAUUAGACGGCGCCCCCAAGGCGCCGUUUGGCACUGGCGUCGUGGCGGACUUCAAGUCACGUAAUCAACGUUUCCCGCCUUUCGUCUCGGUCGUGUUGUGCGGACUCCCCUCGGCGCACGGUCCGAUCCGUUCGAGUGCUGGUUUUCGUCGACAUAUUUUUCAGGCAAGAGGCUGCAACGACGUUUGAUGGUCUUCAGGACAGGACUCGUUGGGAAUUUUACCGCAGGAAGAAACCGGCAUUGCAGAAAAACUCCCUGAACUGUCACACACCCCUACUAUCAUUGCACUUGAUGAGAGACACUCUGUUCAUAACACUGACGCAGCUGUUACGGACGUAACAAAAGGAUGGCUCGUGUUUGCUUCAGAUCAAGGAAUGCACCUAUGUGAGAAAGCAUGCCGCUACGAUAGACGACUUCAAGAGAAGCCCCAGCAAAACUUCAUAAUCACAAGAGUUUACAAACUGGAAAAAUGGCAUAUUGCCUUCUAUAUAUUACGGGUAAAGUAAACCUGAAGCACUAAAAAUAAAAAAAUGGUCUUGCUACUUCUCGUGGGGGAGGAAGGAGGCAUGAAAGAUAUAGAAAAAAAGUAGCCGAGGCAUCAAAUUGUCGCCAAGACAAAAACAAAAUAAAUGAGCCAGAAAUUGCAUUGGCCAAAAUGGUUGGCUCCCAUGCCAAGAACAUGCUUGGCUAUUGCAUGGUAUUCCAACGCAGUGCCAACCAUGGAAAGGGGUUUUUCCAAUGAUUUUCCAAGCAGUGCCUUCCUUUGCUUAGCCAAUGGUGGGCUUGUCACACUUUCCAAGCACAUACUCCCCUUGGCCUCCAAUAACUUUCCAAGCAUGGACAGCUUGGCCACCGAUGAUUUACCAUGCUUAGCCCAAGCAAGUUUCUGGUAGGGUUGGUUGAAAGGACAACGUAGCACAUUGUCUGCUGCAAGUUGUCAUCAAGAAUAGGUGGUGGAGAAAUUUGCAUUACCAAACCGUUUUGAAUUUGUGUGAACUUAACUACUGCGUGGCAUCCAUCUGCAGCAAACCUUAUGUCCGAUUGACUGCUUAGUAGAUGUGACUUUUGAAACUAUCUCUGCCAAAAGUUGCUUCUAUGCAGCUAUGCAAAUGACAACCAUCUAAACUAAAUCUGUGGUGGGCAUCUGUCACUGUAGAGCCUUUCAAUGCAAGUUACCAAAAAUAAGAGGUGAUUUUCACAUAAAGCUCUAAAGUCAUGCAAGAACCUACCUAAAUCAGCUCUCAAAGCACUGUUCACAGUGUUCAUCAGUGAGUAAUGAAAGAGAUUUUUGAAUCUCCUGUGCGGCGUGCUGCACUCACAAGAAAACAGCUGCUGCUACGACUGCAGGAAGACUUGAUCACUGUUUUCCAAUAAGUAUAGUGUUGCAGGCUUAGCUGCGUUAAUGCAGAGGAAUGCGCUGCACAUUGUAUUAGCCUUUCAUCAUCUGUUCAAACGUGGUUGUGGCACAGUUACAUCUCUGACUCGUUAAAAUAAGUUUCCUUGCUGCUGAGGGAGGGAGACUGUAUUCUGCUUAGCAGCAUUUUUUGGUAUUUAAGAACCAAAAACCCUCACCAAUCAGUUGAUGUAAUCAGUAUAAUUUGUCCUUUUUUAAUUCACUUAAAAGGCCUCGAAACACUUUUUCAAUGUAACCACGAAAUGAAUUCACAAAAUGAUUUUAUUUGAUUCACACGCAUUUACGGUAAAACAUACAUUUUUAACUCAUCUGCACUCCCCCGUGUCACACGCAUGUAGAACAGCCUUCCAGAUGAAAUCGUGGCUGAAAACAAACGGGAAAAAUUCCGGCACCUUCUAUUCACCCACUUCCAGGAUUAACUGCUCGUUUUAUUCAUAUCAAAAUUGGCACCUACGCGUUUAUUCACUUCUAGUAUUUCGUUUUUUUUUCUCUUACUUUAAACUUACUUUUUUAAUUGUUUGAAUACCAACAUACCAUUCAGUUCUGUUGGGUAGUAUUGAGUGAUGUUUUGUUUUGAAUAAUGGAAAGUCUUUUCACAAUUUGUGGUUGUUUUUUAUAGCUUGUUUUACGUCAUUAUCUCACGCGUAUACUCAUGUGAUUUUCAUUGCCGUUGUAUUCCUAUUAAAAUUAUUAAUAAUA